rnacentral:rRNA from 1 species
AGACAGCAGUAGCCGCGGUAAUACGUAGGGGGCGAGCGUUGUCCGAAGUUACUGGGCGUAAAGCGCGCGUAGGCGGCUUCUUAAGUCUGAGGUGAAAGGUUCAACGCUUAACGUGAACAGUGCCUUGGAUACUGGGGAGCUUGAGUAUGGGAGAGGGCAGUGGAAUGGCUGGUGUAGCGGUGAAAUGCGUAGAUAUCAGUCGGAACACCCAUGGCGAAGGCAGCUGCCUGGCCUAAUACUGACGCUGAGGUGCGAAAGCGUGGGGAGCGAACGGGAUUAGAUACCCGAGUAGUCCCUGUCUCUUAUA